ensembl:lncRNA
UGUUUGCGUGGCAAUCAAAAAACAGUUUUCCGAAUGCCGCCGAGAUCAGAAAGAGACAGACAAAGACACGCUUUGCCCCAUGCGGAGAGAUGUGAAGUCAAUGAUGUGUCGUGCAAUAAUGGAGUCACAUUUCUGCCUCAUUUGUGCGGCCAAAAACUCCCGGCAACUCGCAGCUCGUCUCCGCUCGCGCGCCUCGCCGCAUCCCGUCCGCGCACGCACAACCUCGCAAGCAGCCGUGACGCGCGGGAGGAGGGAGAACGCGGAGGUCAGAGAAAAAAGGAGGCUCCUGACGGAAGGAUGCAUGUGGGGGCAGAGACAAAGCACCUGGCUGAAAAGCACAGUGCAAAGCUGCGCUCCAGAGCCUGACUCACACACAUUACGCGCCAAUGCGGAGGAGGGAGAAAGUGCAUCGAGGCCUCAGACGAGACGACGGUGAAGAGGACGAGCGCGGCGCAGCGGGGACGAAGGACAGGAGGGGAGACGAGGGGAGAGAGGUCACCGACGCGGGAGACGCUG